rnacentral:rRNA from 1 species
GCUCCAUUAGCGUAUAUUAACGUUGUUGCAGUUAAAAAGCUCGUAGUUGGAUUUGUGGUGUACGGUGUGUUCCGGGCACUUGUUGUCUGAGUAACUUGCCGUUGCAUCCUUGGGUGGAACCUGUGUGGCAUUAGGUUGUCGUGCAGGGGAUGCCAUCGUUUACUGUGAAAAAAUUAGAGUGUUCAAAGCAGGCUUAUGCC